CUUAGAAAACUAGCUAUUUUCCUUCGGAAAUGUGGGGCCGCAAACUUCCGGAUUAGCUUGUGGUGCUACGCGUGUGUUAGUUCAGUGUAGACGACGUAAGAUGUUAUUGGGAAAGGAUUCCUAUGUCCUUUCGAUCGCCGUCGUCCUCCAAACAGCCAAAUUGACUUGCGAGUGCGACGUCGGCGAAGUAAACUACAUCGAAAAUCGGCACUGUUCAACAAAUAUUAAGGCGGUCUAAGGUGGUUCGAAUGUCAAAGCGAGUCCCAAAACUACAGCCGGUGGUCCGUGCCAUUGGUGACAAAUACGCGUACUUGCUGGUGCGUUGCCGGUAACCACAGGAUAUCAGUGUGGCCGAUACCGAUCGGUUUAUGGCCAACCGGAAAGUCCAUGCAGAUCAACAGCUGGAAUCCUUUGCGAUGGGUCACAAAUUUGACCGCCCGGAUCUGGACCACCUUCAAGCGGAGAGCGUCGUCAAUGAGAAACAACGGCAGCAACACGUCCUUGGUGCCCGUCACAAACGCUCCGCUGCGUGGCAAGCGAAACCGCCAGGCUCUUGACGUCGUCCGUGUGACCAAGUUCGCUGGAUCUAAAUAGUUACUUCAAUCAUCCUCGCCUCCUUCCGAUCAACCACCACUUCCUGAGUGCAUGAUGACAGACCGGUUUUUCUGUGACCUCUCCAAUCUUCGAUUUCUAGUGUGUGUGUGUGUAGUUCGAGGCUUAAUGGAACAGAGCCCCGUUGAUCCCGCGCCUCUUCUCGCCAAAGGGGGCCAAAGAUUCCUUAGGAAACAAGCUAUUUUCCUUCCGAAAUGUGUGCCAGCAAACUUCCGGAUUAGCUUGUGGUGCUACGCGUGUAUUAGUUCAGUGUAGACGACGUAAGAUGUUGUCGGGAAGGGAUACCAAUGUCCUUUCGAUCCCCGUCGUCCUCCAAACAGCCAAAGGUGACUUGCGAGUGCGACGUCGGUGAGGUAAAACACGUCGAAAAUCGGUACGGCGCGUGUGCAGCCGUUUUACGUACGAUUAUUACCACGCGCGGUCAAAACCAAUUGUUUUAGAAUAGUAGAUUUACUUGUCCUAACUUUAAUCUUCGCGAAAGAAAAGAAAAUUGCUAUCAGCUUCGUUUGCAUUUCGUUUCCUGUGAGUAAAGUGUAGUUUAAGUGUGUUGCGAGUAAAUUAACGGGUUCCAAUUGUAUUUAGACAUGUUCUAUUGCGGAUUUUAGUACUGUAAGAACUGCAUUUUGUACGUGCGGACAAGAACAUGCAGUUUUACUAGUUGUCUAUAAACAAAUGUUAUCAAAACCGAUUAUAUAGGCCAUAAGAAGGCGAAUCGCAAGACUGUAGAGGCUAAAUGCAGUAGUUCUUACACAUUUUUGUAUGUUUACACGCUCGUGAUUGAUUUGAAGAAUAAAUAAAGUCUUAAAUAAGGUUAUACUAAAGAA